UUUACAUUUCAACAUUCUGCUUAAAUCUGUAUUUUCACUCUAUUUCUUAAAUGUAUGCUGUCAAAGCAGAAAAGAAAAAAAUUAAAAAGACAAUAAAUCGUUCUGAAAGCUGUGCCUAGAAUUUGAACCACAAGACGUCAGCUCCAUUGUGACCCUCAGAGGCUCCUAUGUGGAUGUCCAAUCAUGGUUCUACCACAUUUCCUCCCGUGAAGAGGCCACUUCUCUAGAAAGCCUCCUGUCCUAGAGUUGACCUUGUCAUGCUUCUCUCCCUCUCUUGCAAAAUGUUGCUCCAGGAAAUCACAGUGGGAGGAGCCAGGCCAGAACACAUGGCUUCUCAUAGGCAUACAACACACACACACACACACAUCCACACAUGCACACUACAUACACAUACAUACACAUAUGCAUAUACUACACAUAUUCACACACAUAUACAUAUGCAUAUACCACCCAUACACACAUACCAUAGACACACAUACACACACACUCACACACACAUACAUAUACAUAUGCAUACACCACACACACACACACACAUAUACCAUAGACACACAUACUCACACACUCACACACACAUACAUAUACAUAUGCAUACACCACACACACACAUAUACCAUAGACACACAUACUCACACACUCAUACACACAUACAUAUAUAUAUAUAUGCAUAUAUAUAUAUGCAUACACCACACACAUACACUCACACAGAUAGAUAUACAUAAGCAUACACCACACAUACACAUACCUAUAAUAAGCAUACACCACACUCACACAUAGUCACAUACACAUACAUAUGCAUACACCACACACACACACACACACACACACUCAUACAUAUACAUAUGCAUACACCACACACACACACACACACACACACACACACACACACAGAGGAGAGUUUUUCUAUACCAUUUUCUCCUCCUUUCUUUCCAUUCAGUACUUCUAAGGAUUUCAAGGUACAAAACUACCUAUGCUCAGAAGACCCUGUUCUCUGACACUGCUAACUCACACUGAGUUCAGAGUGGCCAGCCCAUCUGAUGGACAUCAGGUCAGGUCAGAGUUCUUGCUUGUAUCUGGACAGAUUCCACAGAGCAGACUGAGGAAACUUCCUGGACCCAAGUCCCCAGAGGAUGCUGUGGGUGAGGUUAACUUCACCUCCAACUUAAAAAGAAUAAAUAUAGUGCAGGCCACCCCAAAGGCCAAAGGUUGAAAGUCUGGUUUCCAUGGCAGGAGAGAGACGGCCCCAUCCUCUGAAAAUGGAAAGCAAUGAAAACUUCCGGGACCAUCUACUGUCAAAUAACAAGGUUCCGAAAAGCUUCAUAUUACCCUAAAAGGCAUAAGAUGAUUGAGGAGCCACGGUCCCAAGUGCUACAACAGCUCCAAUUGAAAGUCUUCGGACAGUUCCUUUGAAAGUCCUGCCCUGUGGCUUUGAGCUGUCCAUGAGAGUUAGUACUGGUCAUGCUGUUCCCUUGAACAAACGCCUUGACAGAGAAGUCAUUCCGAUGACGGAUGAUAACUCAUUCCUGGACAUGUGCCACCUCAAGUCGUAGCUCACCUUUAGUCUUCUUUGGUUGACCAGAUUUCUGACCUGAAGAGACCAGAAGAGGGCACAAGAGUUUCCUGGAACUGGAGUUAUAAAUAGUUAUGAGCCACCACAUGGAUGCUGGGAAUUGAAGUUGGACUUUCUUGAAGAAUAGCAAGUAUGGUUAAACAAUAAAACAUCUCUCCAGCUCCCUAUUAUGUUUUUAUUUCAUUGACUGAAGUAUUUUCGUUCCAUGACAUCACUUUCUUUCUUUC
rnacentral:lncRNA from 1 species